rnacentral:rRNA from 1 species
GAUGAACGCUGGCGGCGUGCUUAACACAUGCAAGUCGAACGGGAAUUAUUUUAUUGAAACUUCGGUCGAUUUAAUUUAAUUCUAGUGGCGGACGGGUGAGUAACGCGUGGGUAACCUGCCUUAUACAGGGGGAUAACAGUCAGAAAUGGCUGCUAAUACCGCAUAAGCGCACAGAGCUGCAUGGCUCAGUGUGAAAAACUCCGGUGGUAUAAGAUGGACCCGCGUUGGAUUAGCUAGUUGGUGGGAUAACGGCCCACCAAGGCGACGAUCCAUAGCCGGCCUGAGAGGGUGAACGGCCACAUUGGGACUGAGACACGGCCCAGACUCCUACGGGAGGCAGCAGUGGGGAAUAUUGCACAAUGGGGGAAACCCUGAUGCAGCGACGCCGCGUGAAGGAAGAAGUAUCUCGGUAUGUAAACUUCUAUCAGCAGGGAAGAUAGUGACGGUACCUGACUAAGAAGCCCCGGCUAACUACGUGCCAGCAGCCGCGGUAAUACGUAGGGGGCAAGCGUUAUCCGGAUCUACUGGGUGUAAAGGGAGCGUAGACGGUGUGGCAAGUCUGAUGUGAAAGGCAUGGGCUCAACCUGUGGACUGCAUUGGAAACUGUCAUACUUGAGUGCCGGAGGGGUAAGCGGAAUUCCUAGUGUAGCGGUGAAAUGCGUAGAUAUUAGGAGGAACACCAGUGGCGAAGGCGGCUUACUGGACGGUAACUGACGUUGAGGCUCGAAAGCGUGGGGAGCAAACAAGAUUAGAUACCCUGGUAGUCCACGCCGUAAACGAUGAAAACUUGGUGUCGGGGAAGCAUGGCUCUUCGGUGCCGUCGCAAACGCAGUAAGUAUUCCCCUCGGGGAGUACGUUCGCAAGAAAUGAAACUCAAAAGGAAUUGACGGUGACCCGCACAAGCGGUGGAGCAUGUGGUUUAAUUCGAAGCAACGCGAAGAACCUUACCAAAUCUUGACAUCCCUCUGACCGGUCUUUAAUCGGACCUUCUCUUCGGAGCAGAGGUGACAGGUGGUGCAUGGUUGUCGUCAGCUCGUGUCGUGAGAUGUUGGGUUAAGUCCCGCAACGAGCGCAACCCCUAUCCUCAGUAGCCAGCAUUUAAGGUGGGCACUCUGGGGAGACUGCCAGGGAUAACCUGGAGGAAGGCGGGGAUGACGUCAAAUCAUCAUGCCCCUUAUGAUUUGGGCUACACACGUGCUACAAUGGCGUAAACAAAGGGAAGCGAGAUUGUGAGAUGGAGCAAAUCCCAAAAAUAACGUCCCAGUUCGGACUGUAGUCUGCAACUCGACUACACGAAGCUGGAAUCGCUAGUAAUCGCGGAUCAGAAUGCCGCGGUGAAUAAAAUCCCCCGUCUUGCACA